GAGGGUAUAGCUCAGUAACAGAACGCGUGCCUGGCACGCACGAGGUCCUGGGUUUGAUCCCAGGUACCUCCA
rnacentral:tRNA from 1 species